rnacentral:tRNA from 1 species
GCCUGGGUGGCUCAGUUGGUUGAGCAUCUGACUUCGGCUCAGGUCAUGAUCUCACCGUUUGCAGGUUCAAGCCCCGCAUCGGGCU